rnacentral:rRNA from 1 species
UACGUAGGGGGCAAGCGUUGUCCGGAAUCAUUGGGCGUAAAGAGCGUGUAGGCGGCCCGAUAAGUCCGCUGUGAAAGUCGAGGGCUCAACCCUCGAAUGCCGGCGGAUACUGUCGGGCUGGAGUCCGGAAGAGGCGAGUGGAAUUCCUGGUGUAGCGGUGAAAUGCGCAGAUAUCAGGAGGAACACCUACGGCGAAGGCAGCUCGCUGGGACGGUACUGACGCUGAGACGCGAAAGCGUGGGAAGCAAACAGG